rnacentral:tRNA from 1 species
CAGGAAAUAGUUUAGUAUAAAAUUUUAGUUUUGGGGAUUAGAGAGAAAACAAUUGUUUUUUUCCUGA